GAUCCAGACUCCUACGGGAGGCAGCAGUGGGGAAUAUUGGGCAAUGGGCGCAAGCCUGACCCAGCAACGCCGCGUGAAGGAAGAAGGCUUUCGGGUUGUAAACUUCUUUUAAGAGGGAAGAGAAGAAGACGGUACCUCUUGAAUAAGCCACGGCUAACUACGUGCCAGCAGCCGCGGUAAUACGUAGGUGGCAAGCGUUAUCCGGAUUUACUGGGUGUAAAGGGCGUGUAGGCGGGACUGCAAGUCAGAUGUGAAAGCCACGGGCUCAACCUGUGGCCUGCAUUUGAAACUGUAGUUCUUGAGUACUGGAGAGGCAGACGGAAUUCCUAGUGUAGCGGUGAAAUGCGUAGAUAUCAGGAGGAACACCGGUGGCGAAGGCGGCCUGCUGGACUGCGACUGACGUUGAGGCCCGAAAGCGUGGGGAGCAAACAGGAUUAGAUACCCGAGUA
rnacentral:rRNA from 1 species